ensembl:lncRNA
GGUUAGGCCAAACUAGCAGCGCCAGGUGGAGGUCUAGCUGUUGGUCUCCUCCAUAGGCUGCUCCUCAGGAAGGGCCUCGUUGUUCUUCUCCUCAGUCCUGACAGGGCAGGAGGUUAGGCCUAACCAGCAGCGCCAGGUGGAGGUCUGGCUGUUGGUCUCCUCCACAGACUGCUCCUCAGGAAGGGACUCAUUGUUGUUGUUCUCCUCAGUUCUGACAGGGCAGGACAUUAGGCCUAGCCAGCAGCGCCAGGUGGAGGUCUGGCUGUUGGUCUCCUCCA